rnacentral:rRNA from 1 species
CCCUUAGAUGUUCUGGGCCGCACGCGCGCUACACUGACGAAUGCAACGAGCUUAUAAUAACCUUGGCCGAAAGGUCUGGGUAAUCUCCAAAUUUCGUCGUGAUGGGGAUAGAUUAUUGCAAUUAUUAAUCUUCAACGAGGAAUGCCUAGUAAGCGCAAGUCAUCAGCUUGCGUUGAUUACGUCCCUGCCCUUUGUACACACCGCCCGUCGCUCCUACCGAUUGAAUGGUCCGGUGAAGCGUUCGGACCGUGGCCUUUGGACGGUUCGCCGUCUGUUGGCUGCGGGAAGUUCGUUAAACCUUAUCAUUUAGAGGAAGGAGAAGUCGUANCA